UACAUGUGGGGCGAGCGUUGUUCGGAAUUACUGGGCGUAAAGGGCUCGUAGGCGGCCAACUAAGUCGGACGUGAAAUCCCUCAGCUUAACUGGGGAACUGCGUCCGAUACUGGAUGGCUUGGAUUUGGGAGAGGGAUGCGGAAUUCCAGGUGUAGCGGUGAAAUGCGUAGAUAUCUGGAGGAACACCGGUGGCGAAGGCGGCAUCCUGGACCAAUAUUGACGCUGAGGAGCGAAAGCCAGGGGAGCAAACGGG
rnacentral:rRNA from 1 species